rnacentral:rRNA from 1 species
UGAGGAAUAUUGCACAAUGGACGCAAGUCUGAUGCAGCAACGCCGCGUGGAGGAUGAAGGUCUUUGGAUUGUAAACUCCUUUUCUCAGGGAAGAGAAUGGACGGUACCUGAGGAAUAAGUCACGGCUAACUACGUGCCAGCAGCCGCGGUAAUACGUAGGUGGCGAGCGUUAUCCGGAAUUACUGGGCGUAAAGCGCACGCAGGUGGUCUUGUAAGUUUGACGUGAAAGCUCCCGGCUCAACUGGGAGAGGUCGUUGAAGACUGCAAGACUUGAGGCAAUGAGGGGGGUGUAGAAUUCCCGGUGUAGUGGUGGAAUGCGUAGAUAUCGGGGGGAAUACCAGUGGCGAAAGCGGCACCCUAGCGUUAGCCUGACGCUCAUGUGCGAAAGCGUGGGGAGCAAACGGG